CUCAACCUUGCAAUGCUGAGCGUAGGAGGCACCGUCCAUCCAGUGGCGUCUGGGCGACGUGCGCACCAGGACUCUAUGCGGUGUCUAUAUCUAUAUACAGCCAUCGAUAUGGAUAACAACAAGAUUAGUAGUAAGACGCGCUCGUACCGACAAUAAGAAGAAAAAAGGAUAAGAGAGAAACGUUUCCCACUUCCGCUUCGAGAUGAUUGAAACGCUAGAGAUGAUUGGCGCACGUGAAAGUCCACGGCAUGAGAAAACUGUCAAGAGUGCCAAUGGAUCUCUCCGCGUUAUGGAUCGCUGUCCUCGCUGAGACUUUCGACGUAACUGCGGCGAGAGGAGAAUGUCCUUUUUAAGGCGGUUCUUAUGAUUGUCAUACGAGGUAGCGCCUCGUUACGGAUAAAGUGAAAGGAUCGACGGAUUCUAAUCGCGAUUGGGAAGUAUCGAUUGAUUUUUCUUGGUAUCGAUUGUUCCUCGCAGAAUCAUUUCAAUGAAGAAAGUGUUGCGAGUUCCUUAAAAAAUGAUUAAAAAAUAUCAGAGUACAUAAAAAAAUAAAUCGAAUCCUGUCGUCAUUGUUGCUACAUCCACUCUCACAGGAACGGUAUCGCUUCAAUGGAUAUUGCUGCGGUUUACUUUCUCCUGUACCGAAACUCUCGUUCGUAAAACGAUACAGAUAUAGCAACGCGCCGCUGACGUAUUUGGAAUUUCAUAAAAUCAAGCGUCAUAUCAAACAGCUACUCGAAGUCUUGCUG